AACGAACGCUGGCGGCAUGCCUAACACAUGCAAGUCGAACGAGACCUUCGGGUCUAGUGGCGCACGUGUGCGUAACGCGUGGGAACCUGCCCUUAGGUUCGGAAUAACUCCCCGAAAGGGGUGCUAAUACCGGAUAAUGUCUUCGGACCAAAGAUUUAUCGCCUUUGGAUGGGCCCGCGUUGGAUUAGCUAGUUGGUAGGGUAAAAGCCUACCAAGGCGACGAUCCAUAGCUGGUCUGAGAGGAUGAUCAGCCACACUGGGACUGAGACACGGCCCAGACUCCUACGGGAGGGAGCAGUGGGGAAUAUUAGACGAUGGGCGAAAGCCUGAUCAAGCAAUGCCGCGUGAGUGAUGAAGGCCUUAGGGUUGUAAAGCUCUUUUACCCGGGAUGAUAAUGACAGUACCGGGAGAAUAAGCACCGGCUAACUCCGUG
rnacentral:rRNA from 1 species